CGCCACCCCCAGCGCGCUCCCGAGGCCGUUCCCCGAGGAUGCGCGGGCCCGAGGGGAGGGCGACGCGGCCCGAGCGGCGCUUUCCUGGCCGCCUGGAGUCCGGGAACGGCGAAUCCCGCUCGCAGCGGACCGAGGCGAGGCGCAGCGGGACGGGAUCGGUGGGAACGGAAACAGCGGUCACCCGGAAGCCCAGAACCAGCGAGUGCGCGGUGCAGUGUUCGCUUCCCAAACGUUGUGGGACAAACGCCUUUCAACUGUUUCUGGACGCCCGUGGGCCGGCGUUACCCUGUUGAGAGGGAAGAGAGAAGCCCCUCCCAUUCGCUUCUACUGGGGCUUGUUAAGCCAUCGCCUUGGGGGCCGGCUGAUCAGCGGCAGCCAGCAGCCGGCGGCUUCGGCAGGCAGGAGCAAGGACAGCCUGUGGCUACUGCAGCCCCACUGCCCGGCCACACUUCAUGACGGGAGAGUGCCUUGGGAGGAAUGUAAAGGCAAACCGGACUGUACGAGAGGAAAAAAAGGUGCUUCAUAUCCCAACCAAAAGUAUUCUCUGUCUGAGGACCAUUGCCCAAGUGUGAAGUAG
rnacentral:lncRNA from 1 species